rnacentral:rRNA from 1 species
GGUGAGCCGCGAAUUGCUCAUUACAACAGCCAUUGUUUACUGGAUCUUAAUAUCCUACUUGGAUAACUGUGGUAAUUCUAGAGCUAAUACACGCAAACAGCUCUGACCGCAAGGGAUGAGCGCAUUUAUUAGAACAAAACCAAUCGGGCUUGCCUGUCUUUGGUGGAUCUGAAUAACUCAGUUGAUCGCAUGGUCUCGCACCGGCGACGUAUCUUCCAAGUGUCUGCCUUAUCAACUUUUGAUGGUAGUUUAUGCGACUACCAUGGUUGUAACGGGUAACGGAGAAUAAGGGUUCGACUCCGGAGAGGGAGCCUGAGAAAUGGCUACCACAUCCAAGGAAGGCAGCAGGCGCGCAAAUUACCCAAUCUCGGAACGAGGAGGUAGUGACGAAAAAUAACGAGAUGGUUCUCUAUGAGGCCCAUUAUCGGAAUGAGUACAAUUCAAACCUUUUAACGAGGAUCUACGAGAGGGCAAGUCUGGUGCCAGCAGCCGCGGUAAUUCCAGCUCUCGAAGUGUAUAUCAUUGUUGUUGCGGUUAAAAAGCUCGUAGUUGGAUCUGCGCCUUCGGAGUCGGUCCUCCCAACGGGAGCGUACUGGCAUCCUGGGCUAAUUUUGCUGGUUUUCACUCAGUACCCUUUACCGGGCGCUUUGUGUGACUAGCACGUUUACUUUGAAAAAAUUAGAGUGCUCAAAACAGGCUUUUGCUUGAAUACUGGCGCAUGGAAUAAUGGAAUAGGACCUUGGUUCUAUUUUGUUGGUUUUCGGAACACGAGGUAAUGAUUAAGAGGGACAGACGGGGGCAUUCGUAUUGCAGCGCUAGAGGUGAAAUUCUUGGACCGCUGCAAGACGAACAACUGCGAAGG